GUAUCGAAAUGAACAUCUGGGACAUCUGUUCAAGCUGUUCAACUGCGAGGAUCAUCCUUGAGCGUGCUGUGAUAGUAAUAGAAAAACACGCUCAGUUACACUUUCCAAACAAUGUCAAAACAAAAAGAGUUCAAAAUUCGAAUUGUUCGCCAACACUCGGCAUUGCCCCCGAACGCGCGUCGAAUAGCAGUGAGUAUCAAACGACCAAAUCCCCUUUUCGAACGUUGGCUCCAGGAGAUGAUCUCGGUGGCAGCGGAUCAAGAUUCGAUGAGUCGAAUACCGCUGCAAAGGGCGCUGACCUCUCUGCGGCGCUAUCCGCUUCCUAUUGCCACAGGCAGAGAUUGCAUGAUGUUAGCUGAUUUUGGUAAAAACAUUUGCGAAGCAUUAGAGGGGAAGCUUCGGUACUAUCAGCGACACGACGGAAAGGUGACGCUGGACCACACCGAUCAGAUCGAGCAGGAGCUGAACGAUGUGCAGCGAGAGUUCCGGGUAAAAUUGGUUCAGCAAACCGUGGCCACUGCAGAAGGAUUGGAUAAAGAAUUGCAACAGGAAACACAUCCAAGCGAACAGUUUGAAGCAGCAGAUGAUUCCAUUUGUCUGGAAAGCCUGGAAACGGUUGGAAAACAGAACAUGAAAAUUACAUCUCCUAAGGUUGUUUUGCUGGUGGAUACUCAGGAGACGAUAGGAAAAUGUAGGAGUGCUCUUGAUCGCACGCUAAAAGAACUAGACCAGAACCAAGUGGAGUAUGAAGUGCGCCGCUUGAGUGUGGGUGAUUUCCUGUGGAUUGUUCGCGAUGACAGUGGCGUGGAAUACAUCCUUCCGUACAUUGUGGAACGGAAACGGAUGGAUGAUUUCGCCAGCAGUAUAAAGGAUGGUCGUUUCCAUGAACAGAAGUUUCGAUUGAAGCAGUGUGGCCUGGCGAAUAUUAUAUACUUGAUAGAACAUCUGGGGAACAAUCGUCAGGUGGGAGUACCCGCAAGUACGCUUACCCAGGCGGCUUUGAACACAUACGUACAGGACUUCGUUGUGAAGUACACUGAAAAUAAUCGCCAUACAGUGCUCUAUCUUUCGACUAUGACACAAUUAUUGAACGAAAAUAUUACGGACAAAACAUUUUGGGAUAUUACAAAUCUACCUUCGGAAGCAAUCUCCGCUACUGCUUCCGAUUUUAAUCUUAAACAAAGCACAAUACCACUGCUAUCAUUUGAAACAUUCAACCGGCAAUCAUCGAAGACUCGUGAUUGCACCGUUAAGGAAAUUUUUAUGAAGCAACUGCUCCAAAUAAAGCUGCUUUCCAUAGAUAAAAUUAACGCGAUUGUGGAACGGUAUCCAACACCAAAGCGCUUGUUUAUGGCUUAUGAACGGCUCACCAGUGAGGCAGAAAAAGAAAAGCUGCUAAAUUUGAGUUAUGGCCCAGCGAAACGGACAAUCGGAUUAAAACUUAGCAAAAUCAUCUAUCAGCUGUUUAUGAGUGACUUGUAUCAGCGUUGAGAUCAUGAUGUCCGUUUCCAAGAAGAAACGUCCCCACAUAAUGACGCACAUCGGACUGGAACUACGAGAGGUCUCGAGGAAAGCUGCGGAUGGAAUGAUAAUCUGUAUUUCUGGUUCGAAAAGGCGUUAACAAUGUUGAGUUUUUAUAUUUUACAAUCCAAUCAAGUUUAUAUCUCUUUCAUAAGUUGAAGUGAAUAAUGAUUUUGAUUUGAAAUAUGAAUAACACUCUGGUGCAACGGAAAAGUUUGAAAAAAAAACACUCAAACCGAACGUAACCGUCAUGGAACAUUUCUGUCGGCUAUAAUUGUUGUCUUUGAGUCGAGCAUUGAAGAAAAAGCGGUCGAAAAUUGAUGACACAUGGCCUAAGCAGCUUUGUAGCGCUUCCAUUUUCAUAAAAAUGAUUCCUAAGCUCAAAUAACAAUAACAUAUUACAUGAAUAAACAAACGACACUUUUCUAUUCGGAAUAAAUAUUC